UUGACCUCGGAUCAGGUAGGGAUACCCGCUGAACUUAAGCAUAUCAAUAAGCGGAGGAGAAGAAACCAACAGGGAUUGCCUCAGUAACGGCGAGUGAAGCGGCAAAAGCUCAAAUUUGAAAUCUGACGUC
rnacentral:rRNA from 1 species